GACGAACGCUGGCGGCGUGCUUAACACAUGCAAGUCGAACGGAGUGGCGAACGGGUGAGUAACACGUGGGUGAUCUGCCGUGCACUACGGGAUAAGCUGGGGAAACUGGGUCUAAUACCGGAUAGUGCAAGAUGAGCUCGCGGCCUAUCAGCUUGUUGGUGGGGUAAUGGCCUACGAAGUCGUCGACGGGUAGCCGGCCUGCGAGGUGGUACGGCCACAUUGGGACUGAGGUACGGGCCAGACUCCUACGGGGGGCAGCAGUGGGGAAUAUUGCACAAUGGGCGGAAGCCUAAUGCAGCGACGCUGCGUGGGGGAUGAAGGCCUUCGGGUUGUAAACUCCUUUCGACAGGGACGCGGUACCUGUAUAAGAAGCACCGGCUAACUACGUGCCAGCCGCCGCGGUAAUUC
rnacentral:rRNA from 1 species